CGCCUGCAAGGGAGCCGCGGUGGUCUGCAGCACCGGCAGCACAGCCCCAGCCCUCGGGGACACGGGUUGGAGAUGCCAUAGAAGGGGACCUCACCACCGGGAGGACUCACGCUGACCUUCUUGGACAGAGUGGGCUGGAUUCCGCUUCCCAAGCCCUCCUCCAGCUUUCAUUUCAGAGCCUCACCUCUGCUGAAUCCAGCCCCCUGAAUUCAGCCGAGCCGAGAAAGCGUGUGAUCCUGCACCAUUUGUGCUCGACAACAACUCCUUAAAUACCCUGCAUGGGUCCAUAAAAAGCAGUGUUUUCCCACCCAGGAGAGAGCAUGUUAUUCCACCAGAUCCAUCAGGGCAUGACACAGACAUACAUGGUCGGGAACCACUGUCUUCCUGGACUGCCACAAGCACGAAAAAAAAAAUAAAAGCUUUUUUGGGAGUGCCGCAGCUCUGACAGUGAGGUUUCUUCCAAAUAUUUUGGUGCGGUUUGGUCAUCAGCUCACGCAGGCGGUCAUGCACCAAACUGCUAGGAUCAAGUGCUUCUGCAACCUGAUCCAGUCUGCUCCCAUCCCCAGCAGCUAAACAACUGCAUUAGAAACCUCACCUACACUAAGUGCCUUAUUUCAGGGGUCCAGCGGGGCUUUCAAGUGCAGAUGCUUUCCGAGCAGAGAGAAUGGAUUUGGUCGAAAGAAUAAAUAAUGCUCAUAAUAUUUCAAUUUGCAAUUCAAGCAGAGAGACCUGAAAGAGGGUGGAUUUCCACACACUGAGCACCUAAGAGCCAAAAGCCAGAUGGCUCAGCUGGACACCUAAACUAUCGGGUACUCUCAGCGGUCACUUCAGAAAAUGCAGCCCUGAGUCCUUUGGUUAAUACAAAACAGGCCAAGCAUCUUCCAAACGCUCCAAUGAAACCCUCCAAACAUCCUAUUUGGAAAGUUAUUAGCUGGUAGCUGACAAAACCAAUUCUCCCCCUUCAUUUACGGAGAUGAAAAUUGGCAUCAUUCUCCCGAGUUUCAAAAUAGAACGGUAGUGAUGUUAACACGAAUAAAUCAACCGGGAAGAUGUUUGUAAGCCUUGAUCAGCCAAAGAGAUAUACUUACCUGCUAUAAAGGAAGAUUGCUGACUUUUCUAUUUCCAUUAACUGUUGCCAAAUCUCAUAAAUGUAAACAGAGAAUAAAUCCUUUCAGUCACUGAAUAUGAAUAUUCUCCUGGGAAAAUCCAGCUGGCAUCCAACUUGAUUUAUGUGCUUUAAAAAAAGCAUUUGUUUUAUAUGCCUAGGGUGAGCCUUAAAACAUAAGUUCACGUGUAAAAAAUAUUAAGGCUCGGGACCUAUUUCAGCAAAAAGUGCACAUCCUCUGCUCAGCUGCCUACCAUUCGCCACACAGGGAGCCAAAGUCGUGUGGGCCUGGGGUCACAGCAUCUGCUCGGAGGAAUCGGUGAAGCUUGGGUAUUGCAAAACACACACCUCUGGCAUCACGGCCCCUUUCCAGACAGCUACUGCAGCUCCUACACUUUGUACUCAAAUGAGAAGUCUGGAGCCUAAAUAUUCACUGGAUGCACUCUUCUUUGCCGCUUCUCUUCCACGUUACUUUAUGCUACUUCCCCCACUUCAUCCUCUGCAGAUGCUCCUAACAUCCAUCUCUUAACCCUCUUCAAAUAUAUAAUGCAUUAAAAGUAUGACAUCCGUAACAAGUAAACUUCAAUUCUUACUGAACAUGAGCAGCACCAGCAGAUUCAGGCUAAUUACACAUCACAGGGCUCUCCUAUCCAUAUUUCCUAAGUUUGAGGGGAAAAUAUAUCUUACAGCCACUCGUUGCUCUUCAGCGUGUUCCCUCAUUUUAGAUGCACUAACCGAAUUGUUAGAGGAAUGCACAUCUUGUCAAAGCCAUAUUAUUAAGCAAAACGUGAUUACGAUGUCGGUAACAAGCCUGUCCUUUGGCUGCGGAGGAUGGAGCUAUGUGAGCUCCGGGUGGUGGAAGGGAGUAACGUCACGCUGAGAA